UGCUGUGAGCUCGAUGAGUAGGGCGGGACACGUGGUAUCCUGUCUGAAUAUGGGGGGACCAUCCUCCAAGGCUAAAUACUCCUGACUGACCGAUAGUGAACCAGUACCGUGAGGGAAAGGCGAAAAGAACCCCGGCGAGGGGAGUGAAACAGAACCUGAAACCGUGUACGUACAAGCAGUGGGAGCACAGGUUUACCUGUGUGACUGCGUACCUUUUGUAUAAUGGGUCAGCGACUUAUAUUCUGUAGCAAGGUUAACCGCAUAGGGGAGCCGAAGGGAAACCGAGUCUUAACCGGGCGUUAAGUUGCAGGGUAUAGACCCGAAACCCGGUGAUCUAGCCAUGGGCAGGUUGAAGGUUGGGUAACACUAACUGGAGGACCGAACCGACUAAUGUUGAAAAAUUAGCGGAUGACCUGUGGCUGGGGGUGAAAGGCCAAUCAAACCGGGAGAUAGCUGGUUCUCCCCGAAAGCUAUUUAGGUAGCGCCUCGUGAAUUCAUCUCCGGGGGUAGAGCACUGUUUCGGCUAGGGGGCCAUCCCGGCUUACCAACCCGAUGCAAACUGCGAAUACCGGAGAAUGUUAUCACGGGAGACACACGGCGGGUGCUAACGUCCGUCGUGAAGAGGGAAACAACCCAGACCGCCAGCUAAGGUCCCAAAGUCAUGGUUAAGUGGGAAACGAUGUGGGAAGGCCCAGACAGCCAGGAUGUUGGCUUAGAAGCAGCCAUCAUUUAAAGAAAGCGUAAUAGCUCACUGGUCGAGUCGGCCUGCGCGGAAGAUGUAACGGGGCUAAACCAUGCACCGAAGCUGCGGCAGCGACACUGUGUGUUGUUGGGUAGGGGAGCGUUCUGUAAGCCUG
rnacentral:rRNA from 1 species